rnacentral:rRNA from 1 species
CCCUUAGAUGUUCUGGGCCGCACGCGCGCUACACUGACGCAUUCAACGAGUUUCUUCCUGGUCCGAGAGGAAUGGGUAACCUUUUGAAAGUGCAUCGUGAUAGGGAUAGACUAUUGCAAUUAUUGGUCUUCAACGAGGAAUUCCUAGUAGACGUAGUUCAUCAGACUGCAUCGAUUACGUCCCUGCCCUUUGUACACACCGCCCGUCGCUCCUACCGAUUGAAUGCUCAGGUGAGCCAUUCGGACUUUCAUCAUGCUGGUUUCCAGUUUUGAUGAAGGAAAGUCUUGCGAACCUUAUCAUUUAGAGGAAGGAGAAGUCGUAACA